rnacentral:lncRNA from 1 species
ACAACAGCAAAGCAAGAGACCGACCGACCUCGCGCCCGAUUUAGCAAGAACGAACGCCGGGAAGUUGGGCGUGAUAGAUGAAUUUAUGAAUAUGCAUGCAUGGUCGAUCGCUAGCAGCUGCAAAUGGACGAUGCCACACCUUUUUGCGUCAUCGAGCGAUCUCUGCAUGCAUGGAGCUAAAGUUUUAAAAGCGCGCUAGCUGCACUAGCAAUAGGACCAAAAGCAUGGAUGGAUGCGUGAAUGACAACACGAAGAUCGAUCAAGGUAGACAAAAUCGAGACCAUGCAUGUCUCGUCAAAUCGAUCUCGCCACACUUGUCGUUUAAGCAAGGCUUGUUUGUUUUUUACUGCAUGCAAAGUGUGGCAUUAUCAUAUCAUUCAAAGCUAGCCAGUCGACUCGCAUGCACGUACGUACGCCAUAUCUGGCUCAAAGUUUAGUCGGUCGAUCACUUGAUUAUAAUUGCACCGUGCGUCACCUCAGGACACAGAAGAGGACAUGGGUGUACAGGAGGAGAGAAUCGAUCUGGAGCUAGCUAGCAAAGCUUUGGCCAGGAGUAUAGCAAGCAACCAACACGUCAACCUAGGUAGGUAGCUUUUGCUUUGGAACCGGGAGAAAAAAUUAAUAAGAAAUUGUGUCGGAGAUGUUUUUUUGCUGGUGAAGGGGGCGAGAGACUUUUGUUGCCUUUGGAAAUGCAUGCCAUUUAUUCUUGCGUGGAGAACACUGCAGAAGUAGCUGCCAGAACUGAAGUGAGAGCAGAACUAGCAUCACACUCCAUUAAAGUGUGUGUGCAAAGUCUGACUUCGACACAGCCAGCAGACACAUGCAAUGUGACAUGCAUGACGUGUGCAUGCGUACGUACUUGUGUUAUGAACACAAAAAAAAAAAAACGAUUCUUCCUUGUUGGCUUGACAAAAAACGUAUAGACAAAGAUGUCUAUAUGUACCUCAGGUGUCACGUACGAUCGAGUGAAUCGAUCGAUGUGCGCGCAUGCAUCGAUUUCACGCCAUUUUGUUAUCUAGCUUUUGAACUUUUGCUACCCUGCAUGCAUGCCGCCAGUU